UAAAGUGUUAUUAUAGUUAACUAAAGAGGUAUUAUAGUUAACUAAAGAGGUAUUAUAGUUAACUAAAGAGGUAUUAUAGUUUACUAAAGUGUUAUUAUAGUUAACUAAAGUGGUAUUAUAGUUAACUAAAGUGUUAUUAUAGUUAACUAAAGAGGUAUUAUAGUUAACUAAAGAGGUAUUAUAGUUAACUAAAGAGGUAUUAUAGUUUACUAAAGUGUUAUUAUAGUUAACUAAAGUGGUA